UUUUUAAUUAUAAUAUAAUAUAAAAAUCUACCUUUUGGAAUUUAAUUUUCUCCUUUUUUUUACAUCUUUAUGUUAGAGAGACAAGAAUGGUUGUUUUAUCCAAGGCUUUCAUGUCUUUUAAAAAAUUAUAUAUUUGCAUCAUAUCCUUCUUAAUGAACAAAUUAAAUUGUAUAAAAUUCACAAAAUAUGUUUAAAGUAUUGAUUUGAUUUCUUUAUUAUUGGGGUAGAACUGAAAUGGGCUUGUAUUUUUAUUUUAUCCUCUCCUGCCAUCUAGGUAUCUACCAAAUACUGUUAGAAUAAAAGUAAACAUUUAGAUGAAACAAAGCUGGAAACAUUGGGUGACAUGUUACAAAGAUCUCUAUAAAAAUCAAAUAGGCAGGUUAACCUGGUAUAGUUUUAUGUUGGAGAAGUAGUAACUUGAUGCUUUGUCAUCAGUGGAACUACUGGAUUUCUAAAGGGAUGUAAAGCCUAAAAGCUAAAUGACAAGUACCUAACAAUAAUGAUCACUCAAAGAUACAGUAGAAACUCUGAGUUUUGGUAUCUGGGCUCUGCAGACAGAGAACAGAGUUCUGUCUCCAUGGACAGUGCUUCAUGGAGGACAUGUUCUUAAGCAGAUGCCACAAUCUGUCUUUGCUAAAGAAUGUUCUCUUCAGGGAAAAAAUAGGUUCUGUUUCAACACUCCACAAGUGAUAAGUGAGGCUUUUCAAAAAUAGAAGCUCUUAGAUGUGUUGAUGAGACAAUAUGUCAUUACUUAGAAAAAAGAAAAAGAAAGAACUCUGCUUGAAAAAGCUAAAUUUUCACCCUACCCUGCAGCCAGCUUUUGAAGUUUCCAGCUGUGUGGAGCCAGCAUUCCUCAUGGUUCAGGACAUAGAAGAAGGGGGCCCCAAAGUCUUACAGUUUGAAAAUCCACAAAUCCACUCUAUGAAGACAUCCCAUGAAAAAUAAAAUCUGGACUCAGAG
rnacentral:lncRNA from 1 species